CUUUAGUGUUCUAACCUGUACAAAGUUGCUGUGUUUGUUGAAGAUGCAAAGAAUUUAAUUCAACUUAAGAAUUAAUUAAGAAUUGUAAAAGAAAUCUACAUGUAAUCGAGCAUUUUGAUUUAAGUUGGCUUGGUCUAAAUCACCAAAUCAAAAGGUGAUUGUGUUUAUAUACUGUUACUGGAAUUGCACUACUUCACCUGUUGUUUUGUUUUGCUGCAUCUGUACCUUAUAUUCAUCUCACUGAUUGGACUGUAGCAGAGCGAUAACAUACACUGAUUGAUUUUGAAGACAUCUGAUGUUUAUGGAAGUGAUAGUUGGAACUAACAGUUUUUAGCAAAAUUCAUGCAUAAGAAAAUCAAGGAAAAAAGAUACAGACUGCAAUUUGGUCUUAUUGCAGCUACUUGCUAUUAUUCAUACAUCUGCACAUUUUCCUUGGGACAAUGUUGCGCUAUUUUGCUUCAGUUUUUAAAUUCAUAAUUAUCGCUAUAUUUGCACUUUCAUCGAACACAUAGUUGUUACCACUAUGUGAUCAAUGUGAUAUGCUUUGGCGAAUUCUUGUGAAUUGAUAAUUACAUUUACCUCUUCUGGUUUUUUAAAGUUGGUUCGUAAGAUAAUUUAAUGUCUAAAUGCAAGAUACAGAUACAGAAUUAUUGUUAAAAAUUUUGAAUAUGCAUGCAACCCAUUGGACUAUUGCAUAUUACUUGUUUUAUUAAUUGCAAUUAUGCGAUCACAUAAUCUCGUUUUUUUCGCAACCUCAUUUAUUUUCCAGAGGACGAUUACAGUUUAGAAGAACUGCUAAGCUUUGCUAAGUUUAUUCCAAAGUAUAUAAACUCAAGACGAAUUGCACCCAGAGUACCAAGUGUGUUAUGCCCAUGCAUAACAUUGCGACAAAGCCCCAAGCGUAUGUUAAAGCAGUUUUGUUUCCUCUAGCUUUGCUUGUGCUCUUAGUUACAAAUAAGUUUUUCGCUAUCCGCUUCGUAAAACUUAGAAUUCUAUAUCAAUGAAAAUUUGACCUUGAAAACAACGCAGGAUUGUUGUUUUAAAAUUUAUUCGUCAGUGAGAACAGCAUAAAAUAGAUAUUUUAAGUUUAACUGAGCCGAGAAACAUAGUAGAAAUUUUUUAUUUCAAUUUUAGACCCAGACUAUCAGCUAUGAUCUGGUGUUAACAGUUUACCUUGGGGGAACAAGGAAAGUUUAUCUUUUGAACUUAAUUUACUGAAGUAGAGCAGCGUAAAGCCUCGUAUUUUAACUUAACAUGGGCUGAGGAAGUUAGAGCAAAACUUUAGAUUUGAGAUUUAAAUCAAUUGAAUUUGUUCUAUACUGGUCUUACCGUGUUUUUAUGGCGGUUAUUACAUGGAUUGUCGUUUAUUUAAUCACAGUCCGACCUACUGCGAUAGAAAUAUCACCAUGAGGUAAGUCAGAGCUAGAUGUUGAUACCCUAAAGUUUCAUAUUCAAUUAAUGUUGUGUAUAUGAUCUGCGGGAAUUUUUAAUGGUUGUACAGUGUUGCGUUGGUUUGUUGGCUUUUCUUUGUCUUCUUUGUUUUCUUUGUAUCUUUAUUUUCUUUGUCAUUAAGAGAUUCUUCUCACUAUUCCACACCUUUUCUAUUAACAUUCUUUAUCAUCUUCAUUCACUUCUAUUUUUUUGGGGUCACCAUUAAUUUUCUUCUUAAAUAACAAUUAUCCUCAAAUUGCUAUUCGAAGUGGUUUGCACGCACUGUUACUACUGUUGCAUUACAGGUCCCUGUUUACUUCUUGAGUAACUAGGUAUAAUCAACAUUCAUGUUGCUUUUAUGCCUCUAAGGAGUGAAAAACACCCUUUAUCUCUUGUACUAAUUUAUUUACUUCCAGUUUUUCGACUCGAUGUUAUUGACCAAGAGACUCUUUUUAAAAUGCAUUUAAUUUUUAUAUACUAAGCCUCUCGGAAGUAACCUAAAAUGCCCUUCAAAAAUUGACUCUUCAAUGAAAUUUUGAAAAUGGGGUGUAGAAAACAUCCAGUAUCUCUUGUACAAAUUUACUUACCUCGAGUUUCUCAACGCCAUGUUUUAGAUCAAAAAUCCUUUUUAAGAUGCAUUUUAUUUUUAUCCACUAGGCCCUUUGGAAGUACCGUAAAAUGCCCUUCAAAAAUUGGCAAUUUUAUGAAAAUUUGAAAACAUGGUGUGAAAAAUACCCUGUAUCUCCUAAACUAAUUUACUUACCUUGAGUUUCUCAGCACGAUGUUUUAGAUUAAAAAAUCCUUUUUGAGAUUCAUUCUAUUUUUAUCCCCUACGCCCUAUGGAAGAGCCCUAAAAUGGCCUUCAUAAGUUGGCAAGUUUGUGAAAAUAUUAAAACAUGCUGCGGAAAACGCCCUGUAUCUCCUGAACUAAUAUAUUUUCUCCAGGUUUUUUGACGCCAUAUUAUAGUUCAAGAGACCCUCUUUACGAUGUAUUUUAUUUCAACCAUCUUAACCUUUCAAAAGUGCCCUAAAUUGGCCUUCAAAAGUUGGCAAGUUUGUUAAAAUUUUAAAACAUGCUGCGGAAAACGCCCUGUAUCUCCUAAACUAAUAUAUUUUCUCCAGGUUUUUUGACGCCAUAUUAUAGUUCAAGAGACCCUCUUUACGAUGUAUUUUAUUUCAAUCUCCUUAACCUUUUAGAAGUGCCCUAAAAUGGCCUUCAAAGGUUGGCAAGUUGGUGAAAAUUUUAAAACAUGCUGUGGAAAACGCCCUGUAUCUCCUAAACUAAUAUACUUUCUUCAGGUUUUUUAACGUCAUGUAAGAAUUCGAGAGACCCUCUACACUAUACAUAUUUUUUUAACCCUAUAGACCCUUUGAAAGUGUCUUAAAAUACCCUUCGAAUAUGGCUAUUUUUUUCAAUAAAUUUCAUUUUUUGGUUGACAGGUUCGAACUUUUAUUGUAAACAUUUUUUUCGGCUGAAGAACAGGGUCGAACUUUUUUGUUAAUUUUUUUUUGCCGAAGAACAGGGUCGAACUUUUUUGUUAAAUUUUUUUUGGUCGAAGAACUGGGUCGAACUUUUUUAUUAAAUUUUUUCGGUCGAAAAACAGGGUCAAACUUUUUUACUUAAAAUUUUUUGGUCGAAUUUUUUUAUUAGAUUUUUUCGGUCGAAUUUUUUUGUUAAAAAUUUUUCGGUCGAAAAACAGGUUCAAAUUUUUUUACUUAAAAUUUUUCGUUCGAAUUUUUUUGGUCGAAAAACAGUGUCGAACUUUUUUAUUUACAAUUUUUUCGGUCAAAGAGCAGGGUCGAACUAUUUGGUUGAAAUGUUUUUUGGUAGAAGAACAGGAUCGAUUUUUUGGCGAUUAUGUCAAAAACAAAAAGUUCUACGAAAACGAAUGAAUUUUUCUCUAAAAUUGUAAAUAUGGUCUGAACGGUUAAUGUUAUCAAAAAAGAUGUAGAAUUAAAUUAUCUAUCAGGUUUCCGAUUUAAAAUUUAAUCGAAAUUAAUAGUUCCAUGCAUAAUACGAGUACAAUUCUAUUCAUGUUCUGCACUACCACACUGAAAGUGUCAGUGUUUACAAACAAACAUGUUUUCUUAUCUCGUGCAAUUCUUACGCGAUCGCCACGCGGUUGGCUUGUGUACCACGUUAGUAUCAUUUUUGUCGUCAGGUGAUCUGCACGCACGUAUUCUUUAUUAUUUUUGAGUUUCUAAAUGCUUCUUCGAAUGUGCGCGAUUGAUGUGCGGUGUUCGUACCACGCGGAUUGUAGCUACUUACUCAGAGGUAAAGCGUGAGUGUUGUUCCGCCGCCCGUCGUAUUUGUAUUAUACGCGUAAUUAAUCGGUUCUACAAUGUGCAUAAUUAAGAUCCAUACUACUUAUUGGAUAUGCCAAAACGCAAACAUAUAUUUUGCAUCAAGGUAUGUUCUCGCAUGUCUUCAGCCAUUUGAAAAUCAAAUCCAUUAUUGACUUUACUUUUUUGCAUUUUUCUAAUUGUUUUAUAUGAUUCAAAAUAAAAUUCUGAUUUGUGCUUUAAAUUUUAAAUUUUGUUUUUGGAUUCCGAAAGUAAAUUAAAUUUUGAAUGCAGUAACACCAUUAUAGAUUAAGGCCCUAUUGACAUGUAAAAACCAAUUUUUAUAUUAAAAAUGCAAAUUGUAUCAUACUAAUUGACAUUGGUAUACCUACCUAUACAUAAAUAAUAAAAGCAUAUAAUACUACAAUUA